rnacentral:rRNA from 1 species
GAUGAACGCUGGCGGCGUGCCUAAUACAUGCAAGUCGAGCGAACAGACGAGGAGCUUGCUCCUCUGAUGUUAGCGGCGGACGGGUGAGUAACACGUGUAUAACCUACCUAUAAUACUGGUAUAACUUCGGGAAACCGGAUCUAAUACCGUAUAACAUGUUGAACCGCAUGGUUCAACAGUGAAAUACGGUCUUGCUGUCUCUUAUAGAUGGAUCCCGGCCGCAUUAGCUAGUUGUUAAGGUACCGGCUUACCAAGGCAACGAUGCGUAGCCGACGUGAGGGGGGGAUCGGCGACACUGGAAGUGAGACACGGUCCAGACGCCUACGGGAGGCAGCAGUAGGGAAUCUUACGCAAUGGGCGAAAGCAUGACGGAGCAAGGCCGAGUGAGUGAAGAAGGUCUUCGGAUCGUAAAACUCUGUUAUUAGGGAAGAACAAAUGUGUAAGUAACUAUGCACGUAUUGACGGUACCUAAUCAGAAAGCCACGGCUAACUACGUG